rnacentral:lncRNA from 1 species
UGACUCUUGACUUCCGAAGAAAGUUAAAAAAAGUCUAAACUCCUUGAGAUUAAAAGAAUCCAUACGCUGUUGGUUGCGAGACUCAAAAGGGAGGUGGCUGAUUCAGCUUCUCAAUGACCGAAAGAUAGAAGCAGGUGAAAUGUGAAGCUUAUGCUCAUAGAUUUCAUAACAUACAGAAGGGAUGCUGCAGGCAGCGGGGAGACAAGCUUUAGUGCAGAACUGGGCACUAGAAAGGCCCCCCGACGUCUCUUCUGCUGCUCGAGGGUCCAUGAGUGCACCGGGUCUGGGAGUCUACUAGGUGCUCAGCAAGUGUUGGCUGGAGGCGUGGAUGAACCCAUGAGUACAUGCAAAUGCAUCUGCUUCCCCCUUGGCUGCUGCUCCUGCUGGGAGGCUGAAUUUUUUAACGUUGAAAUUCCACAAGAAACAUCUUAAGCAAGCCAUGUGUUUGGGCCAGUCUGUUUCCAGGCUUGUUUGUGUUUUUCACAUUCUUUUGUUGCCCUGCAAUAUUAUUCUGUGACCUCGCUGAUGAAUUCCAGUAGGUCAUUCCGUUGGGCCCCAAGGACGCUAGUAAAUGAAUCUUGAUUUGGAAUGGAAUACGCAGGGUGUGUGGCUUGGGUUGGAAUCAAAUUAGGCCUGGCUAAUUUUAUUUUGGUUUAAUCUAUGUGGGAAAGAAUAGAAAUAGAGGCAAAGCAAAUAAACAGAAAAUAGUGGAAACUAUUCCUGUAUAAUGAUAAGCAGUCUCUGUAAGGAAUAGUUCCAAGGGCCACAACCUAAAUUAUUUUUAUUAAAAGUUUGGGGACAAGAUUCAGCAAUGGAAAGAUUAACUUCUUCAGUCAUCGUGGUUGGUGUUUACUUUUCUAGCUUUCUCAAGCCAGAGUCUCCACAGGCUUUUAAAAUGUGGAUGCUGCAUAGACAAGGCAUGUUCCUUAAUAUAGUGCAGGCUUCUUAAUCUUCUCCAGGCUCUGUAAACGGAAAAGCCCAAUCUUUGGGAAAUCUCAGCUCCUGGGGAGGCGAAAGAAAAAGUUUCCCGUCGAACCAUCCAGACUCAGUCUUGAGUUUCUCACGCAGUCCUAAGGUGAAAAAAAUGUUGAGAAGGUGCACUGAAUUCUUCGGCUAAUCGUCUUUUAAAACUGACUUUCCUCCCUUCCGUCGCUUCCAACCUAGAAAGUGUGGGGCCCCCAAGACUUAACCUCGGUGCUCAGGGUUUGGGAAACUGGCUGCGAGCAUUUGAAGGAAAUGGGAAGCUGCCCGUGGAGGAGGAAGGCAGGCCAUCACCGCGCGAACCCCCUCGUCUGGCCUUCUGAGCGGGGCGCAGGGAACCUGGGAUUGUCGCUUGAAGAGAGUUUCUUGUGAUUGCCUAGGAGGUUCUUACAAAGGAGAGAAUGAGGAUUGACCAUUCGGAGUUUUGGGACUGUUCUGGACCAUUGAAUUUCCCCUCCUGUGGAAGUCAGUAUUUGGUUCAUUUACUAGAACAAGUUGAGCUUUCAUUUAGAAGGGGAAGAGUCACCACAGUAUUUCUACUCUUUCGUAUUUGACCCGUGGAUGUGGAGUAGGAGUUCAGGUCCUGAAGCAAGAGAUGAUAUGGAACUUUCCAGUGCUUGCGGCCGGGUUCUGAGUACCUGCCUCCCACUUAGUUGCCUCAUGUUGGUGACGUCUUCACUGGCCUGAACAGCGGGAAUAAUAAUGGGUUUUCACCUGUCUAAUGCAGGUGGCUAGACCAGAUGACUUUAUACAGCUCUUUGAAGCACUUGAUGAGUGUUGGCUUUGGUCAGUUUCCUAGGAGCAAAUCUCGGGUGGCAGUCUUCCAAAGGCAGAAGGACUGUUGGCUGCUUCAGCAAGACUUACGUACUUUAAAAAUUAUUUUGUUUAUAGUAUUUCCUAUAUGUAAAAUUAUACAUAUAUGUACAAUUAUACACACACAUAUAAAAGACAUAUUCUGUACUUUUUUUUUUUUUUUUUACUGAUGUUGCAAGGUCUUGAGUGAAUACUGUUCAAACAGAAGGAUACCAUGAUUUCACUUUUUUUGUUUUAGGAAGAAAGAGAUGGUUGCUAUUUCAUAUGUUCGCUUCGGAUUCUCCUCAUUCUCCCCAGUCACUACCUUUUGUUUUGUUUUGAUUUGGUUUUGCUUUUGGAAAUUGCAUCUGAGAAAUGUAAACUGACUGGCUCAGGCACUGUUGAUAAUGUUUUCCUUAAAGGAAUUAUUUUUAGUGAGAAAAUGGUUAGAUUAAAUAAGCCCCAUUCCAUUUUUAGUGAGAAAAUGGUUAGAUUAAAUAAGCCCCAUUCUAAUAAAUGAUCUUUUUAAAGGGUUUAUAAAAUUAUGGAUGCACAUAUGCAGAUGCCUUAAAUCUUUUCUGAAACAGUCAGGUAUGUGAAUAAAUUAGACUUGAAAUGCUCACUUUAUUGAAGUUUAAAAGGGAGAAUCUGAGUUGCAUAUCUAAUACAAUCACAACUCCUCAUCAUGGCAGGAAGAAUGAAACACGUGUCCCGUAUCUCUGGAUGGCAGAAUUCACUUGCCUCCUCUCAUUGCCGUAUUUUCCAAACUUUAUUGAGCAUGUUUGUUUUCAUAGUGGAAAAGUCUCUUUUGUUUUUAUAAAAAUAAAUGGAUUGUUGCUGCAGUUUCCAUCACGAGGCCCAGGAACGGAUUCUCGUUGCAUUUCUAGUGUGCUCCUGCCACCUUGUGCUUUCUGCAACCCAUUGCAGUGCUCGAAGGAAGCAAAAUACUUCGGAAGGCGGUUAUUUCUUUGGAGAUGAUGAAUUAUCAUAGUGGCUCGUAUUUCAGAUACCUGGAAGAUGCAUUUUGUGUGUGUUUGAGAUAGAGAGACAGGGAGGGGGGGAAGUCUUUUGAAAGAUUUGAGGAAUUGUCUACUCUAGCACAUCAGCAUAAAAAUUACAUUUUAUGACUGGGACCUGCACCCUAGCAAAAGAGAAGAGACUGGUUUUGGAACUGAUGACAGUAAGCUCCUUGGGUAAGGUGUUAAAACAGGUUUGAUACUUUGCUUGUUCUUUGAGUGCUUACCUUGCACCUGUGCCUAGAGAGCUCUAGGUGGCUUGAGACUGGGCUUCUUUCCGUGAGAGCCCCGGCCUGCUGUGCUUAGGUGCUGAGCUUCUCUCUUCCCAUUUUCAUUCCAGACAGCAUUCCUCCUGUUGAGGCCGCAGAUGCUUCUCUGCUCUGCUGCCCCGGAGGUAUGCUGAGCCCCGGGAGGGGCGCCUCACCUGGACCUUUGGCCUUCCUGCCGGGGCCCCAGCAGUCCCGGUUGGGGGACUUGUCUGAGGAGCUCUCCGAGCUUUCUUUGGAGGCAGUCAUUGAAAUGCAUUUGAUUUUGGAACGGUGUUUAAAGAGCCGGGAUGCCGCUGACGUCUGUUUGUCAUCCGGGCAAACGCCUGUUCCUGGGACAAUAGCGGGACAGUUUCCUAGCUUUGCUCAAAUAUUGACACUGCCAGGUCUGGGGCAGCCAGUUUUUACCCUUUGGACUCAGGCGUGCACUGAGGAAUUAUGACUGUGACGAAAGCCACAGAGUUACAAUCUUGGGCUUGGAAGGUAGAGAAAGCAAGUCCAUUGAGCACCCAUUACUGGGCAGGCGUGGUAAAGGCUGUUUUUUUUUUUUUGUUUUGUUUUUUUUGUUUUUUUCCAACAUGCAUAGUCAUCUGUAACGAAGAAAAAUUAUGAGAUACACAUCAUCGUCCUCACUUCACACUGGAGCUGGGAGAUGAACUGGCUCAGCCAAGGUCCGGUCGCGUGGACGUGGCAGAGCCGAACUCCGCACGCCCGUGUCUCUCUCUGCUCUCAAUUCCACGCUCCUUAGCCAGCAGCCCAUCGUUCCAGUGCAAACGGUGAGGCUCAUGAUGCUCUCGGCGGUCUGGCCAGGGAAGGCGAGUCUGGACCCGAAGCUGGAGAAGGGCCUCCUGGAAGGUGUGCUGGCAGCCGCCGCAGCACCUCCCCACAAAACCGCAUCCUGCUUCCCGGCCGAGCCCAGGGCCUCAGGGUUGGCAGAGCACCACCGGGAGCUUGGAAGCACCUCCCCGGUACCUUCCAGUCUUCCCUACUUGGUCAGCUCUGGCUCGUUUCAGUGCAGAAACCUCCUACCUCCUCUCCCGGCCUCUCCCCUCGCUCGACCUCCAGGCUGCUCUUUGGAAUAAGCUUUCCAAAGACCCAACCAUAUCGCGGUGCUUCUGAGCUUUCACUCUUCCAAAGGCUUCCUGUUAUAAUUCAGAUGAAGCCUGAAUUCUUUGGCCGAGCUGCUAGCCCCCAAAGGUCAUUUGGUUUUCUGUUUUGUUUUGUUUUUAUUUUUCCCUUUUUUUUUUUUUUCCUUUUCUAGAGCCGCUCCUGCGGCAUUUGGAGGUUCCCUGGCUAGGGGUCAAAUCGGAGCUGUAGCCACCAGCCUAGACCAGAGCCACAGCAACAGGGGAUCCGAGCCACAUCUGCCACCUACACCACAGCUCACACCAACGCCAGGUCCUUAACCCACUGGGCAAGGCCAGGGAUCGAACCCGCAACCUCAUGGUUCCUAGUCGGAUUCGUUAACCGCUGAGCCACAACGGGAAGUCCAAUACUUGUCAUUUUCUGGCUUUUUGUUUUGUUCUGUUUUUGGGUGGUGCUUGCCACCCUUGUGCAUGUGAAGUUACAAUUAACUUUUCAUUGGCUUGUUUCCCGCAUGAACAAACUCCGCAGAGGCCGAGACUAGCCUAGAUCUUGUUCGUUAUGGUCCUCCAGGGCCUGACACAUGGAGGGGGUGCUGGAUCACUGUCUGUAAAAUGGGUGAGAAGACCUGAAUCCUCCCGAUGUGCUUGCUUCCGUGAAUCUAGGGGUUGGACGGGGACAACAGGCAGGACUGCAAUAGCUGCACUAGGUGGCUGGCUCCGUGGCUUUAAUGGUCUCACCGAGAGGCUCCCGACCCGGAGGGUGGCCUGAGGGUUCAUUUCUCCAGCUCGGGAUGGGGAGGAAGGUACUCACGUCUGCUGGCAUUUCUGUCUGUGACUCUGGGGAGUCUUUCUAUCCCAGAUGCAUUUUCGGAGGACACGGGAACCCUGCCUAAUGAGAAAGCCAUUCAUUCUGAGUGGAGGAGGAGAAGAAAAAAAAGCGAAACAAAAGUUCCUUUCCUGGAGUUCCCAUCGUGGCUCAGUGGUUAGCGAAUCCGACUAGGAAUCAUGGGGUUGCAGGUUUCAUCCCUGGACUUGCUCAGUGGGUUAAGGAUCCGGCAUUGCCGUGAGCUGUAGUGUAGGUCGCAGACGCGGCUCGGAUCCCGCGUUGCUGUGGCUCUGGCGUAGGCCGGUGGCUACAGCUCCGAUUCAACCCCUAGCCUGGGAACCUCCAUAUGCCACGGGAGCGGCCCAAGAAAUAGCAACAACAACAACAACAA